AUGUGCCUCUCGAAGAGAGAGGGAGGCAUGGGAUUCAGAAACUAUGAAGCCUUCAAUCAAGCUCUACUUGGUAAGCAAGCUUGGCGGAUAAUGCAAGUUCCGGACUCCCUCUGUGCUAGGGUUCUGCGAGCUAGAUACUUCAAAGACUCGACGAUCAUGAGUGCCACUUGCCCAUCGAAUGGGUCCUUCACCUUUUGCAGCAUACUUUUUGGU
rnacentral:rRNA from 1 species